CUUCUCUGGCACUGCCCACUGCCCCUGUGCACGGCCCUGCCAAGCUGGCAGAGACUGGGUGAAGUCUGCGUCAGGGACCUCAGAUCUCCCCCUCCCAGUCCCAAAGGCAAGGAGUAAGGGGUCCCGACCUCCAGGCUGGUCUGCUCACUCUGUGGGCUGCACAGCUGCCUCCUUCAGGAAGCCUGCUCUGUCUGUGCCCUCAGGAACAACCUCUAACAUGCGCGGGUGGACUGCGGUGCCCUGGACAAUCCUCAGAGCCAUGACCUCCGUAGUGCCAUCCAUGAAAUGGGCGUGCUCAGGUUUCCCCAACUUUCCCGGGCGGAGCCAGGAACCCAGAGCCAGAAACCCGGAAGCGCGGAAGCGCUGAAGCGCGGAGAACAAGGACUCCCCUGGCCGAAGGAGCAGAGGCUCUCCAGCCGCCAGGUUGCUGUCGGACCCGCGAAUAGACCCACAUCUUUUACAGCUUGGCCCGUGUCACGUGGCUUGGAGGGCACCCCCUCCGGCCCCCCCCUGCCCGGAAGGACCUCCCUGGGGGCGGGGAGGGGCGGAGUCUGGGGCGGGUCCUUGCGGGUUUGCGCCACAGCCGCUGGGAGGCCGCAGAUGUUUUUUGUGGUUUUUUUUUUUUUUUGGUACUGGGGGUGGAACUCAGGACCUUGCGCUUAUCAGGCAGGCGCGACGCCACUGAGCUAUACAUUCCUCCCUGACCCAGGAGGCCGCAGAUGUGCGGGUGUGGAGGCGGGGAGAGUGUGUACGCCGCUGGCCGGGGAACACCGACCCUCCUAGGAAUGGGGACAGAGGAGCCUCCAAAGGAGCCUCAGGCUGGCAGGGGCUCUGCUGGAGGCGGUGCAGGGCUGCGCGCCUGUGAGACCCCUGAAAGGCAGGUGCCCUGCUCACCCGCUGGAAGCACCUUCCCUUCUCUCGCCAUAGGUAUUUCUCUAAUUUGACCCUAAAACAAACUUGUUGAGGAAAGAGCUGAAGAGGAAUAGCUCAGGCUGGCCAACUUCGUGUGUGUGAGAUGGCACCGACACACUGUCCCCUCUAGUGCUGUCUGUCCUCUCAGCAGCCUCACUGGGUGGCUUUUAGUUCCAGCUCUGUUCCACAGAAGAGGAGGCCCAGGCAUAGUAAAGUCACAUGUGGGCCAGAGCCAGGUGGUACCCUGACCCCUCCAGCCCCCUGGCCUGGCACUUCUCUGCCAUGUGACACUACUUGCAAGGCCACUGCUUACUAGUCGCGUCCUUGCUUGCCCUGCCCCUGGUGCUCCUGGCUGACACCACUGUGAGUAUUGGUGGUCUGUGGCAUGGGCCUGCCCCAAGUGCACUUCCUUCCAUGCCACCCCCAAUUGGAUCUGCAGGCUCUGCUGUCCCCAGCAGCGGGGCAGGUCCACCAGCCCUACUGACCUGUGCCUCCUGCACCAGAAACAAGAGCCCGGUCCCUUGGCCAGGCGGGUGCUCUGGGUGUGAUGGGGCUGAUACUGGUAACCAAACCCCUGGGGAGACAAGAACGGUGACAGCUGUGAGCCAAUUAAAACUUUGCCCCUUAAAAAAAUGGUGACAGGUAGAAACAGACACAGCAAGAGGCAGAGAGUCCAACUGUUGGCAGAGAUCAAAUAGGGGACCGUGGUCCUGCCUCCAGUGUGGUGGGCCUCUCGGGCAGGUGGUGGUCUGGGCCUUUUCCAGGUUGCUGCUGAGGCCUGGAUUUCCCAUGGAGCAUUCUGGGGCCCCCUAGCAUGUUUGUGGCUUUUGUUUGGGGUGAGGGGUGACAACGGUGAACUUAUUCUCCUUUGGACAAAUCCAGAGAACCCAGAGAGGAACAGCUUUGGGUGGGUACUGCCCAUUUCUACCCUCUGUUUCCCUGACUGUAAACCCUCGUCGAUGAGGAAAAGAAACUAUCACUUCUGGGAAGCUAUGAGUCCAGCCCUGUUUGGGGAUUUACACCCAUGUCAUGAGAGGGCACCAAGGGCUUUUUCAAAGUUGACAGCCUGUGACCUGGCACAACUAUACCCAGAACCCUGGCCAGUGUAGACAAGCCCCCACCAGGUGUCCACUCUGGCUGAGACUCUGUAUCAUCUCACUUCACCCUUAUUCAUUGGCUUUCACAGGUGGGAAACUCAGGCUGGAAGAGGUGUGGUCACUUGCUCAGGGCCAUACAAUUAGCAUGUGACACAGGCACAGUUUGCUCCUGGUUAUGGGGGCACAGAGGCCAGCUCACCUGGACCCUGUGCUGGCCCACCCAGUGUGGUACCCAGAGGUAGCUCCACCCAAGCUAGCCUUGGACUCCCUGAAUCCCACACAAGCUUGUUCCCCUCAGGAGACCUGAAGGAAAACCCACCCACAUCCCUCUUCUGCCCUUCCCAGAGUAUGGCCAGGACAGCCUUAGCCCCUCUGCCCCACUCUGGGUACCUCAUGUGUCCCUUGGAGUCUCCCCGAGGAGAAAGACUGGCUGAGGCCAGUGUGUGCUCAAGGCCCUGACCUCCUGAGUCCAUGAAUGCCAAAGACCAGGAAAAUGCUUCCUGCUGGGUAUCCUUCUUGUUCCUACAAUACUAAUCCACUCAAAAGCAGUGGUUUUUUUAAGGGGUAAUUUUCUUCCUUGUGAGGCAUUUGGCAAUGUUUAAAGAUAUUUUUGUCUGUCGUAAAUUGCAAGGGCAAAGGGGAUUGCUACUGACUUAUAGUAGAUAGAGGCCAGGGAUGCUGCUAAACAUCCUACAGUACACACAGCAGCCCCCACAACAAAGAAUUAUCUGGUCAAAAGGCCAGUUGCGAACCCCCGAUGUAUGGUUCAGGGGCCAGGCAGACCUUGAUUUGAGUCCUCCCUCUGUCAUUUACUAGCUGUGUAUUCUUAGGCAAGUGCCUUCACUUUUCUCUUAGUCUUAGCUUGCUUGUCACCAAAACCCAGCACGAAUUGUAUCCCUCACCUCUUGGGGGCUUGAGGGCUAUGCAGACGGCAUAUAUCCAGCACCUAGGACAGGGUCUGGCACUGGGAAGCCCCUGGCAGUGAUAGCCAUUAAUCUUCAUUCUCGGGCCGGG
ensembl:lncRNA